GCCAGGCACAGUGGUGUGUGCCUGUAGUCCCAGCUACUGCGGAGGCUGAGGUGGGAGGAUUGCUUGAGCCCAGGAGGUGGAGGCUGUAGUGAGCCCUGAUUGCACCCCUGCACUCCAGUCUGGGCAACAGAGCGAGACCCCACCUCAA
rfam:Pan troglodytes isolate Yerkes chimp pedigree #C0471 (Clint) chromosome Y, whole genome shotgun sequence.